rnacentral:misc_RNA from 1 species
CUUUUUGUGUCUGGCAACCGUGGAGACAAAUAGAAGCUAUCGGUACUAUCGAUAGUGCCAUCGAAUCUCUAACUUAUAUUUAUUCGUCUCGUUUUAUCCCUUCUAAUAGCUGCAUUAAGUUUUCGUAGUAUUUGCAAAAUGGUGGAUACUAAAUUGGAGGCGGUACCUAGCGUAGACAUUGGGGUAGGAAUAUUUAAAUAUGUACUCAUAAAAGUGUACGGGAAGGACGAAUCAUACCAAAAAAUCAUUGUACGAGGCUAUGCAGACUGUCAAUGGCAUUCUGAUAUAUACGAUCGAUCGAGCGAAUCCUUGAAGGGACUUGGACUGGAGACGGAAUGCCUUGGUGGUGGACGGAUUGAGUAUAAUUCCAAUUCAAAGCUUAUAAAAGUUUAUGGUUAUUCACAGGGCUUUGGAAAGGCAGACCACUAUAAAACCAAACAAAUUUUGCAAGAUAAAUUUCCAGAGUAUGAAAUUCAGAUUUCUGAUGAAGGAUAUUAAAACGCUAAUGGACGCCGAGGAAUCCGAAGAAAGGGAAAGGCGGAUACAGAGGAGGAGAUUGCGAGACCACACGAAUGUAAUGGAACUACCUGAGACUGAGUUUGUUGCAAAUUUCCGAAUCAACAAAGAAAUAUUCCAAUACAUAUUAAACGAAUUAAAAGAGCACAUGGCCACAUCACAUAGAAGCACCCACCUAUCGCACCAGCUAAAACUCGCGACUUUUUAAAGAUUUCUCGCCACCGGCAGUUAUCAAAAAUCUGUUGGUAACGAAAAUAUUUCGUCGAUGGUGCAGUCAACUGCAGCCAACGUGAUCAGGGAAUGCCAAAAUAUUUUUGAGGACCAUUUUUGCCAGAAAUGGGUGAAUUUUAGGAGAAACAUCGAUGAGGAAAAUGCAGUUAAAGAAUAUUUCUUUGAGAAAUACGGAAUACCUGGGGUUAUUGGUUGUGUUGAUGGAACACACGUUCGUAUUAAGUCGCCAGGAAGUGACAACCACCUCUUAUACCUCAACCGCAAGCGUUUUUACAGUCUUAAUGUAAUAGCGAUAUGCGAUCACAACAUGGUAAUCACAUUUGUUGACGCUAGGCAUCCAGGGGCGAAUCAUGAUUCAUUUGUUUGGAAUAGUUGCGUUCCAGAUGCUUCACGAAAUUCACGAUUUGCAGGAACAGCUGUUUUCCCCAUUAAUAAACCUUAUGGGACUUCCUGUAAAAACCUGCAAAUCGUGAAGCAUCUGGAACGCAACUAAUGUGGGUCACGCAGAACAGGAGCUAAAAUCUGAUUAUAACAAUGGAAAAACCAACACAUGGCUACACGCCAUACUUGAUGACGCCAUUCAGAAGCACAGCCGAUGAAAUUCAACGAAUUUACAACACAAAGCACUCGAAUGCUCGUAAUGUAAUUGAGAGAUGUUUCGGUGUUUUGAAAAACCGAUUUCGAUGUAUAAUUGGCUCGAGAGGGCUACACUAUUCACCAGAAAAAGUUACACAAAUUGUAAAUGUGUGCUGUGCUAUUCAUAACGUUUGUAUAUUUUUCAAACAUCAAAUUCCAUUGGAGAGCCCAGAUAUGGAGAAUCUUGUUAGU